rnacentral:lncRNA from 1 species
UGCCAGCUAUAUUGGAAUUAAAGAUUGAAAACUACAAAACAUCUAAAUCAAAAAUAUAAUGCACCUAGAGAUUAUAACCCCACUUUCAAUAUGGAAAAAUUAUUCCAUUUCAUAAAUGCAUAUGCCCCAUUAUUAUUUGGUUGAAUUGGGUGAAGGAAAAUCCCAAGUACCACGGCAACCCACAAUUAGUUAGCCUCUUCAAU